AUGCUCGUGCCCUCCAUCUCCCGCCCCGAGCUCCAUCUCCUCCACCCGCGGCCUGCGCUCCGUCCUUCCCUCCUUGUUGGCACUCAACCCGGCGAGCGUGAACCGUCGCAAACCGCAGCAGAGGGAGACGUGGAGAGGACAUCAGGCCGAGUGAUCUUGCUUCAAAAAAAAAAAUACAGUGAUCUACGUACAAAGUUGGGCCGUAUGGCUUCCGAGCUGCGCCAAGCGAUGGAAGAGCUUAUGCAUCCCUCGCCGCCGCAGCCAACGCAGACAAGCCCUUCGGAGCCGCUGCCGGCUGAGCCAGUGCCCGCGCAAGCCAAGUCUCCCACGGGCCUGGCUACGAUCCGGCGUCGAGCAAGGCGAUCCGAUUUCCCCUCUUGCUGGGCAAUGGCAGCUUCGGCACUAGGUGCCUGGUGA
rnacentral:rRNA from 1 species